UAGGGAAUCUUCGGCAAUGGGGGCAACCCUGACCGAGCAACGCCGCGUGAGUGAAGAAGGUUUUCGGAUCGUAAAGCUCUGUUGUAAGUCAAGAACGGGUGUGAGAGUGGAAAGUUCACACUGUGACGGUAGCUUACCAGAAAGGGACGGCUAACUACGUGCCAGCAGCCGCGGUAAUACGUAGGUCCCGAGCGUUGUCCGGAUUUAUUGGGCGUAAAGCGAGCGCAGGCGGUUUGAUAAGUCUGAAGUUAAAGGCUGUGGCUCAACCAUAGUUCACUUUGGAAACUGUCAAACUUGAGUGCAGAAGGGGAGAGUGGAAUUCCAUGUGUAGCGGUGAAAUGCGUAGAUAUAUGGAGGAACACCGGUGGCGAAAGCGGCUCUCUGGUCUGUAACUGACGCUGAGGCUCGAAAGCGUGGGGAGCGAACAGGAUUAGAUACCCUGGUAGUCCACGCCGUAAACGAUGAGUGCUAGGUGUUGGAUCCUUUCCGGGAUUCAGUGCCGCAGCUAACGCAUUAAGCACUCCGCCUGGGGAGUACGACCGCAAGGUUGAAAC
rnacentral:rRNA from 1 species